CUCUCUUGCGGCUCAGGGUGGUGUGUGGGGAGGUACAGAGGGCCUGGUGGCCCUCCAGAUGAAGGACAGGGGGCUGGGGGUGAGGACUCCGAGUCCUGUGAGCAACGUCAUUACGUCCAGAGCGCUAACUCCCAGAUCCUCAACACCUGCUUGGCCUCAUGGCUGCCAGAUUCCAAGGUGAUUGAGUGAGGAAUACAGCUGUUGAUUGACAAGCAGCUGCCCAAUGGAGACUAACCACAGGGGAGCAUCUCGGGGAUGUUCAAUAAGAGCUAUGCCAUCAGCUACACCUCCUACAGGAACGUAUUCACAGUGUGGACGCUGUGCCGCCUUCUCCAACCUUUACCCCUCCAGCCCUCUGGCUGUGAAGGUCAAGCUGUGAGGUCAGGAGUCGGCAGGGGUGUGCUCAGUGUCAUUUCUGAAAUCUUUACAUAAAGAACAGUCGUAAAAGUGGGACGCUAAUGAAUAGAAGGUGCUGGAACAGGAGUCCUGAAAUGACCUCAACCCCGGGAUUACUUGACCACGCCUGCUAUUUAACAUUCCUUUUGCCUUACGUUUACUGAACUCGUUGAAACAACCUUUUAGCUGAGGAAUUGUGAGAAAUAGUGUCAUUUUGGCGCCUGUAUUAUGACAUUAAAUCGAUACCCUUAAAUCAGUCUGUAAAUAGUGCUGAAAUAGUUCCCUAUUAAUAUUAACCUUAGUCUCUGAGAAUGUAUUGAUCAGUGGCGGCCAGUGCCGUUUAAGAUGAGGACAAUUUGUUUUUCAUGAGCAUGGCCUUAUUUCUA